GCGAAAGCCUGAUCCAGCCAUGCCGCGUGUGUGAAGAAGGUCUUCGGAUUGUAAAGCACUUUAAGUUGGGAGGAAGGGCUGCAAGUUAAUACCUUGUAGUUUUGACGUUACCAACAGAAUAAGCACCGGCUAACUUCGUGCCAGCAGCCGCGGUAAUACGUAGGUGGCGAGCGUUGUCCGGAAUUACUGGGUGUAAAGGGCGUGUAGGCGGGAAUGUAAGUCAGAUGUGAAAUCCCAGGGCUUAACUCUGGAGCUGCAUCUGAAACUAUGUUUCUUGAGUGUCGGAGAGGAAAGCGGAAUUCCUAGUGUAGCGGUGAAAUGCGUAGAUAUUAGGAGGAACACCAGUGGCGAAGGCGGCUUUCUGGACGAUAACUGACGCUGAGGCGCGAAAGCGUGGGGAGCAAACA
rnacentral:rRNA from 2 species